rnacentral:rRNA from 1 species
AUGGCCGUGGCAGCGGGUUGUGGUGGUCGUCCUCGGGGAGGCGGCGACAACUAUGGCGCUGAGUGUUGGAGGUUGGUGCGUCCACGGGGGAAGUUGAAGAGCGAGGGCGUGAGGGGCUGGCCAUCCUCGCGCAACCAGUGCAGUGCAAAGGGGGCUUCAAUCCCGUCUGAUGCAGUUAUUCUUGGGGUUCCCGUAUAA